rnacentral:lncRNA from 1 species
CGCGGACGGCUCGGGGCCCCGCGGCCGGGCCGGGGCGGCGAUGUCCGAGCCCAAGGCCAGCGACCCCAAGUUGUCGACGACCGACCGGGUGGUGAAAGAAGCCUGAAGCAUUCAGACACCGAUGGUAGCACAGCCCGGUGACUAACAGGAGCGGAGUGGGAGAGACACCCAUACCGAGUCUAUGACUGCAGCUUUGUGCUAAUGAUAGACGUGUAAAAAUUCUUGGCAAUGAAAAAUCAGCUUGUGUGUAGAAGAACAGGAAUUUUAGUCCAAGGACUGAGCCCACAGGUACCCAGAGGCCCUUGAGGCACACGAGAGUAGGCGAAGAAAGAGCUCACUGGCCUUGUGCUGGGAGACGGACCUGCGCCAACCAGGAGGGAGGAGACAACAAAUACAUUUCCCUCGGCCCAGGAAACCUCUUUGGUGCUUGGGAUACCAAGAAACCAAGAAAUUCUCUAAUCAAAGCAUUUUAAUGGACUGCUUAUUAAAGUGCAUACAAACUCAGCAGUCCCAAUGUGGACCAGAAGCUGCAAUACACAAUGUUGAAAAAUAAAGUGAAAAGAAUGUCCACCCAUCAAACUCUGAGAUGCAGGAGUCGUAAGAGAAAGGAUUUCUGCGGGACUCAAAGAUGACUCUGGAUUUGGAUUACUCUCCAGUCCAUCCAAAAGAGCAAAGACAAUAC